GAGCAUCGAUGGGAGAGGAUCUGUUUUGGGCCAUUCGAGGAGGUGGAGGCAACACCUUUGGAGUUGUUGUUGCUUGGAAACUAGAAUUGGUCACAGUUCCACCAACUGUGACAGUGUUCAAUGUCUCUAGAACUUUGGAACAAAAUGCAACAAAAUUCGUUUAUCAGUGGCAGUCGGCAAUAUGAUGUUAUGACUUGUUGGGAUAAAAAGAGCAUGUGUUUUAAAAGCAAAAAAAUAUCAUUUUCUAGCUUGAAGGAGGCUGCUUUUGCUGGAAAUUUUCUAGGCAUGUUUUUUGUGUUCUUGAGAUAAACAUUGCCUUAACCCCUAGGUUUAGACCACAUUUGGUCUAUUUCUUUGCACAAAACUCUUUCUUAUGCAUAAAUAAUAAAUAAUCUAGUAUUUAUUCACACAAAAAUAACAUGCUUAUAAUGAUUUUUAAUUAUAGAAUUUCAAUUUUAUACCGAAAUUUAUUUUGAUAAAAUCGUGAUGAUUUAAUGAAAAUUAAAAUGAAUGAAUUCUUAAUUUUUGAUACUUGAAUGAUUUCAGGUUAACUAGUUGGGUCUGGUAAAACACACACACACACACACACAUAUAUAUAUAUAUAUAUAUAUAUAUAUAUAUAUAUAUAUAUGUUUCUCUGUGGACUCCAUGUUUUGCCAAAUUAAUGGCACGCUACAUGAUUCAUUUUCUAAUUAAGAGUGUAUGUAAAGUUCACAAAAAAGAGGAUACUACAAGUAUUUGAAAUGUCAUGGAAUUCACCUUGUAAACGCUAUCAUCUUAUGAUAUUGUAGCUCUUGAUCCAACUAAUUGCAUUAAAUGAAUAACUUCUGUUAAAAGCAUAAGACCAAUGAUCAAUACUCAUUUGUCAAAGGACUAUAAAAAAACUACCCGGAAUAGGAGUCUUGGCUUAUGAGUUUGAGCUGGAAUAUUAUAAAAUGAUUUUUUUUGUUUCAUUUUAUAUACUCUUGAAAGGCUAAUAAAAUCAAUUCAAAGCUACACAUGCGCGAUGCAAGGGCCGGAGCAUUAAAUUGAUACAAAUGAUAUCAAAUAAAGACAAAGAAAAAUGGAUAAAUUAAAGAUAAAGAAAAAUGGAUAAAUUGAUCGGCAAGUGCCGCUAAUAAAAUUAAUACACUAGAAUAAUUCAUCCUAUAGUUCAAAAGUCAACUAUGAAUGCCACAUAAACUUAUAAGAUGAUAUUGUUGACAUCCAUGCAACAAGUCACAAGAAUCAUGCAAGUGUGUAAAUCUCGUGCUAGAAAUCUCAUUUUGCUGGCUUGAAUUAUUUAUUAAUUCAUCUCGACUUGGUUUACCUUGUACGUUUAACCUUUGAAAAUUAACAGUUGACUGUGGACAAUCUUGUCGGUGGUUUAAAUGAUAAUUGUAAUGAGAAAUUUAUUUUGUUUCAGCGAAAUUACAAUUUUGACCAAUAAAAAACUUACCUCAAAGAAAGAAGGUUAUGUUAAUGGAGUGCAAUUACUACGUCAUCAUGAUCCUACCAAACACAAAAUUUGAUUAACAUGGAUACUGAAGCAUAGGAUCAUCAUCCAUAGCGAGAAUAUUUAGUUUUUUGUACUUUCAAUUUUUUUUUAAUUUUUAAUUAAUAUUUCUAUAUUUUUAGAUUAUUUUGAUGUGGGGAUUUUAAAAAUUAAAAUAACAAAUAUUAUUUUAAUAUUUUUAAUUAAAAUAUACUUUUAAAAAUUACCACUAAUAUACUAUUCUAGUCUAUUAGUUUGAGGCAUGCAUAACGAGCAUAAGAUUACGACAACGUACAAGCUAUCAAUCCGAUUAUUAUUUCAGUCGUCUGAAUAAACUAACAUUAUUGUUCAUUGAAAAUUCAAUGGCUGGAUUGUCAUUGCCCAUGUAAUAGAAGAAGAAAAUAUGAACAAAUCUAACACCCAAGCUAUCAAUCCGAUUAUUAUUUCAUCCAGAACAUGCAUGGUUGAAUUGUCAUCAUCUUCGAGAUUAAUUCGUCACAAAAUCUUCAUAAACAAGCACCCUUCAGAGCUAUAUAAAUAAGGGGGUCUCUUGCAUCUUUCUAUAUGCCCAAAACAUUAAGAAUCAUGAACUGUCUAAGCUCUUCAAUGUUCCCAUUCCUGUUUCUCUUUCUGUUUUCAUUCUCAUGGGUAGCUUCAGCUGAUCGUCAUGAGGAUUUUCUUCAAUGCCUUCAUUAUCAAAACUCUAACGCCAUUUCUAAGGUCAUUUACACCCCAAUCAACUCCUCAUAUUCAUCUGUCUUGCAGUUUUCUAUACGAAACGGCAGGUUCAACACAAGUGCCACCCCGAAACCACUAGUUAUUGUUACACCUCUAAAUGAAGCCCACAUUCAAGCUGUCAUUGCUUGUUCCCAGAAACAUGGCCUGCAAAUUAGAGUUCGAAGUGGUGGCCAUGACUAUGAGGGCCUCUCUUAUGUUUCGGUUCUACCCUUUGUGGUUAUUGAUCUGAUCAAUAUGCGAACAGUUACAGUUGAUGUAGGAAACAAAAUUGCAUGGGUUCAAGCUGGUGCUACACUAGGAGAAGUUUACUACAGAAUCGCUGAGAAAAGUAGAACUCUUGCCUUCCCAGCAGGUGUUUGCCCAACUGUGGGAUCCGGUGGGCACAUCAGUGGAGGAGGACAUGGGAUGAUGAUGCGUAAAUAUGGCCUCGCUGCAGACCACAUUAUUGAUGUCAAAUUAAUCGAUGUUAAAGGUAGAAUCCUUGACCGAGCAUCGAUGGGAGAGGAUCUGUUUUGGGCCAUUCGAGGAGGUGGAGGCAACACCUUUGGAGUUGUUGUUGCGUGGAAACUGGAAUUGGUCACAGUUCCACCAACUGUGACAGUGUUCAACGUCACUAGAACUUUGGAACAAAAUGCAACAAAACUCGUUCAUCAGUGGCAGUCGGCAAUAGGAAAGUUUGACGAAGAUCUAUUUUCCAGAAUUUUCCUUUCGAGAGCUAACACUUCUCAGGAAGGAAAGACAACAAUACUCGCCGUAUACACUUCCUUGUUUCUUGGUGGAGUCGAUAGACUCCUAUCAAUGAUGCAACAGAGCUUUCCCCAGCUCGGUUUGGUUAAAGAAGACUGCAUCGAGAUGAGUUGGAUCGAGUCUACUGUCUACUUCGCGUCAUUUCCACGCAAUACAUCCUUGGAUGUUUUGCUUGAUAGGAGUCCAGGAUCCACAGGAUCUUUCAAGGCAAAAACAGACUAUGUGAAUGUGAAAGAGCCUAUACCUGAAAUCGCUUUCGAAGGAAUAUGGGAAAGGCUUAACCAACUGGAUGCCCAAGUAGCUCAAUUGCAAUUCACAGCCUAUGGGGGCAAAAUGGACGAAAUUUCCGAGACCAGCACUCCAUUUCCACAUAGAGCUGGAAAUCUAUUCCAAAUUCAUUAUGCAGUCUUUUGGGGCGAUCAAGACAGUGAGAGAUCUCAAAUAUAUACAAGCUGGAUUAGAAAACUUUACAGCUAUAUGACUCCUUAUGUUACGAAAAAUCCACGACAAGCAUAUAUCAAUUACAGAGAUCUUGACCUGGGAAUGAACAACCUAGGCAACACAAGUUACAAACAAGCAAGAAUUUGGGGUACCAAAUAUUUCAAGAACAACUUUGACCGGUUGGUGCAUGUGAAGACCAAAGUUGAUCCGGCUAAUUUCUUUAGAAAUGAACAAAGCAUCCCUCCUCUCACACCUUGGUGAUAGUAUAUCAGAAAUAUUAUAUAUAUUGAUAUUGGUAACGAUGCUUUGGUAUGUUUACCAUAAUUUCUUUAGAAAUGAACAAAGCAUCCCUCUUCUUCAUGUCAGAUUAGACAUGAAUAGAAUUUCACUUUGUAUUGAGUUACGUCGUUAGUAAUUAAUAAAUAAAGGCUCGCUCUUUACUAU
rnacentral:lncRNA from 1 species